rnacentral:rRNA from 1 species
UACGGAGGGAGCUAGCGUUGUUCGGAAUUAUUGGGCGUAAAGCGCACGUAGGCGGCUUUGCAAGUCGGAUGUGAAAUCCCUCGGCUCAACCAAGGAAGUGCAUCCGAAACUGCAGAGCUUGAGUACUUAAGAGGAUCGCGGAAUUCCCGGUGUAGAGGUGAAAUUCGUAGAUAUCGGGAGGAACACCAGUGGCGAAGGCGGCGAUCUGGGAAGAUACUGACGCUGAGGUGCGAAAGCGUGGGGAGCAAACAGG